GUUCGAGCGUCAUUACAACCCUCAAGCUCUGCUUGGUCUUGGGCGUCACCGGUCCCCGGUGUGCCCUAAAAUCAGUGGCGGCGCAUCUGGCUCUAAGCGUAGUACAUACUCUCGCUACAGACGUCCGGUGGAUGCUGGCCAGCAACCCCCAAUUUAUCAAGGUUGACCUCGGAUCAGGUAGGGAUACCCGCUGAACUUAA
rnacentral:misc_RNA from 1 species